AGAACGAACGCUGGCGGCAGGCUUAACACAUGCAAGUCGAGCGCCCAGCAAUGGGAGCGGCGGACGGGUGAGUAACACGUGGGAACAUGCCUUUCGGUACGGAACAACUUCGGGAAACUGAAGCUAAUGCCGUAUGCGCCCUUACGGGGAAAGAUUUAUCGCCGAAAGAUUGGCCCGCGUCUGAUUAGCUAGUUGGUGAGGUAACGGCUCACCAAGGCUUCGAUCAGUAGCUGGUUUGAGAGAACGACCAGCCACACUGGGACUGAGACACGGCCCAGACUCCUACGGGAGGCAGCAGUGGGGAAUCUUGGACAAUGGAGGAAACUCUGAUCCAGCCAUGCCGCGUGAGUGAUGAAGGCCUUCGGGUUGUAAAACUCUUUUACCAGGGAAGAUAAUGACUGUACCUGGAGAAUAAGCCCGGCUAACUCGUGCCAGCAGCCGC
rnacentral:rRNA from 1 species